rnacentral:rRNA from 1 species
UACGAAGGGGGCUAGCGUUGUUCGGAAUUACUGGGCGUAAAGCGCGCGCAGGCGGUUCUUCAAGUCAGUGGUGAAAGCCCGGAGCUCAACUCCGGAAUUGCCAUUGAAACUGUAGAACUUGAGGAUGAGAGAGGUGAGUGGAAUUCCCAGUGUAGAGGUGAAAUUCGUAGAUAUUGGGAAGAACACCGGUGGCGAAGGCGACCACCUGGACUGAUACUGACACUGAGGUGCGAAAGCGUGGGGAGCAAACAGG